AGCAGCCGCGGUAAUUCCAGCUCCAAUAGCGUAUAUUAAAGUUGUUGCAGUUAAAAAGCUCGUAGUUGAAUUUCGGGAUCAGUUGGUCGGUCGUGCCUCGGUACGUACUGGUCAAAUUGAUUCCUACCUUCUGACGAACCACGAUGUCAUUAAUUUGGUGUCGCGGGAAAUCAGGACUGUUACUUUGAAAAAAUUAGAGUGUUUAAAGCAGGCUCGCGCUUGAAUACAUUAGCAUGGAAUAAUGAAAUAGGACGUUUGAUUCUAUUUUGUUGGUUUCUAGGAUCGACGUAAUGAUUAAUAGGGAUAGUUGGGGGCAUUAGUAUUCAAUUGUCAGAGGUGAAAUUCUUGGAUUUAUUGAAGACUAACUACUGCGAAAGCAUUUGCCAAGGAUGUUUUCAUUAAUCAAGAACGAAAGUUAGGGGAUCGAAGACGAUCAGAUACCGUCGUAGUCUAACCAUAAACUAUGCCGACUAGGGAUCGGAU
rnacentral:misc_RNA from 1 species